rnacentral:rRNA from 1 species
UACAGAGGUCUCAAGCGUUGUUCGGAUUCAUUGGGCGUAAAGGGUGCGUAGGCGGGUCUUUAAGUCAGGGGUGAAAUCCCAAGGCUCAACCUUGGAACUGCCUUUGAUACUGGGGAUCUCGAGUCCGGAAGAGGUUGGUGGAACUGCGAGUGUAGAGGUGAAAUUCGUAGAUAUUCGCAAGAACACCAGUGGCGAAGGCGGCCAACUGGUCCGGUACUGACGCUGAGGUGCGAAAGCGUGGGGAGCAAACAGG